ACUCUGAAGACUCUCAUCCAGGACUCAUUUACACUCAUGGAGGCAGGAAUGAUCAGUGUGAGAGAAACAAGAACACACAAAAACACAGUUGUGUUUAUGAACUGCCCAUGAAGAACCUGACUGAGUCUCAUGCUGGGAUCUACUACUGUGCUGUUGCCUCAUGUGGACACAUACUGUUUGGAAACGGAACCAAACUGGAUCUCACAGGUGAGUUAUAGUGAUUUUUGUGGGCUGUAAAAACAAUAUUUUAAAUCAGAAAUGUGUUUGUCUGGCUCUCCGCAGGUCAGCCAAACUCUUGGUUGGUGUAUUUCUUAUCUGGAUCUUUGACCUUCAUGAGCGUCCUUGUUGUUUUUCUGAUUUACAAGAUUAUGAAACAGAUGUGCUGCCAGUGUAAAGAUGGAAGCUCAGCAACUGCCUGUACCCCAAACACAGAGAACAAGAACAAAGACUCAGAAAACCUCCAUUACGCUGCUGUUAAUGUCAAGAGGUCCAACAGAUCCAGAAGACAGAAGAACGACUUGAACACAGACUGUGUUUAUACGACUGUGAGACAACAGAACUGAACCUGGUUCUCAUUAAAUCAGCCGAAGUCAUAGUGAACAAAACUUUUAGGAACUUUUUACCUUUUUUUACUCAUCUGUACUUUUGAUUCUCCUCAGAAACUUCAAACUAUUUGAGGUGUUUUGCUGUUUGCCCUUGUGAACAUUAGAGAAAUAAAAUUCUGAAGACAAUGAUCACCUGUGUUAAUUUAUUAUUACUUGAUUUAUAUGUUUUGGUUUGUUUUUACUUAUAGUAUUUUACUAACAAUAAAUUAACAUGUCUAUUUUUUCUCA